rnacentral:lncRNA from 1 species
GUAGAAUCUGUCCUUAUGCUUCUCACAGAUUCUUGCGCUAGGCCUAGCCCUGAGCUCUGUUUAUCUGCCAAUAAAACUCAUUCAUUGCCUUACUGUUAUAUUUUAUGAAUUUAUUUAUUCACUUUGUUUCCCGAUUGCAGCCCCCUCCCUCCUCUCCUCCCAGUCCUAGCCUCACACCCCCUCCCCCUAUUCCACCAUUCCCUUCUGAGAAGAGGAGUUCCUCCUAUGGUUGCCAACACACACAGCUCUCCCUGGCCCAUCAAGCCGCAGCAGGAUUAAGUGUAUCCUUUCCCAUUGAGGCCAGACAAGGAAGCCACCUUCUGUGUGUUCUGGGAGCCAAACCCAGGUCUCUGCAAUUAUAAUACAUCUGCCUUUCCAAAGCACCCAAAAUCCCAGCAUGGCGAGGUAGGAUGUGCACGAAGUCCCUUAGCUAAGGAGCUACUGGGAACUGAAGACUUCUGGGAAGGGGAGAGUCAGUUUUCUUUAAGAGUGCAGCACCUGGUGGGUCGGCAACUCUCCACAGCUCAAUUUUUAGUAGCUACAGGACUACUUGUAUUGUUUUAUUUUGAGUAAGAACUUUUAGCUCAUAUUUUUCAAGGAAUU